UCUCAAAGUCAUAGUAUCCUAGAGUGCAAGCUUAAAAACAAAUGCUAGGCUAAAAAAAUCGUCUGAUUGUCUUCCUGUCCGUCCCUCUCACUUUCUUUGCUUCUCUGUUGCCUCUGAAAACGUGCAGCCUUGUCUCAACUCUUACCAAAGCCUUAAGACCAGCUGCACCCUCUGUCACCCCAUCCUUCCAUUUACUCUCCCUCUCCUUAACCCUCUCCUUCCUACUCUGCUUAUACCAAACUACCCACUUUAAGACCUUUUUUCUGCAUUUUGGCUCAUUAUUUCUUGUAUUCUACACUCCAUUUCCUAUUCUUUUUUCUCUUAGGGUUUUUACUUCAAAAAUGGUGUCUUUCACAAGAAUUCAAGAUGCCCGUUUUGUUAUACUUGGUUUGUUUUACUUGGGAUUUGAAACCCAACAAGCAUUGGUGAUUUUAUCAUGUGGGUUUGCACCAAAUUGGUCGUCCUGCAACAACAGCAAAGUUCCUACAUCACAAGAUGCUGUUAUUCCGGGUGUGCUAUCGAAACUUAUGGUUCGACAUUACGUUGUUUAGGAGUGGAGGAAGAGGAGAUGGGGGAAUGAAGCAAUUGGUCCGUACAACUGGUAUGUAUAUCAACAUUUUCUGUAAAGUCUUGGCAUUCAUGUAAGCGAUUUACGCAUUUAUGGAGAUGUGUUUCCGUAAUAAUUUUGGAUCUCUAUGUAUUGCUAUUUUCUGGUUAUUGCUUAAUAUUUAUAGAUUAAUUCAUCAAGUAGUAACUGCAGGAUAGCAAUCUUUGGAUUUGCUAGUCAUUCUAUGCAAUCUUAGUUUCUUUUUUUGUGUA